GUCCUCAUAGCUCAACAGGAUAGAGCUACCGUUUCCUAAACGGUCGAUCCCUGUUCAAGUCGGGGUGAGGACACCA
rnacentral:tRNA from 1 species